rnacentral:rRNA from 1 species
AUACGGAGGGUCCAAGCGUUAUCCGGAUUCAUUGGGUUUAAAGGGUUCGUAGGCGGAUAAAUAAGUCAGUGGUGAAAUCCCGAAGCUCAACUUCGGAACUGCCAUUGAAACUGUUUAUCUUGAAUUUAGUUGAAGUGGGCGGAAUAUGACAUGUAGCGGUGAAAUGCAUAGAUAUGUCAUGGAACACCAAUAGUGAAGACAGCUCACUAAGCUAAUAUUGACGCUGAUGAACGAAAGCAUGGGUAGCGAACAGGAUUAGAUACCCUAGUAGUCC